rnacentral:rRNA from 1 species
GGAAGUAAAAAUCGUAACAAGGUCUCCGUUGGUGAACCAGCGGAGGGAUCAUUACUGAGUUUACGCUCUACAACCCUUUGUGAACAUACCUAUAACUGUUGCUUCGGCGGGUAGGGUCUCCGCGACCCUCCCGGCCUCCCGCCUCCGGGCGGGUCGGCGCCCGCCGGAGGAUAACCAAACUCUGAUUUAACGACGUUUCUUCUGAGUGGUACAAGCAAAUAAUCAAAACUUUUAACAACGGAUCUCUUGGUUCUGGCAUCGAUGAAGAACGCAGCGAAAUGCGAUAAGUAAUGUGAAUUGCAGAAUUCAGUGAAUCAUCGAAUCUUUGAACGCACAUUGCGCCCGCCAGCAUUCUGGCGGGCAUGCCUGUUCGAGCGUCAUUUCAACCCUCAAGCUCUGCUUGGUGUUGGGGCCCUACAGCUGAUGUAGGCCCUCAAAGGUAGUGGCGGACCCUCUCGGAGCCUCCUUUGCGUAGUAACUUUACGUCUCGCACUGGGAUCCGGAGGGACUCUUGCCGUAAAACCCCCAAUUUCCAAAGGUUGACCUCGAUCAGGUAGAAUCCAAUAUAG